CUCGAAUUUAAAAGAGCUAAGGAGUUAUAUUUUUUAAUGUAGAAUAAUUAUUAAUAAUAAUUCUUUUGUAAUGAAAUGUUAUUCGUUUUUAAAUAUAUCUAGUUUUUUAAGAAAUAAAUUUAAUUUAAUUAUUAAUAUGAUUAAAAAAUUAAAUUUUUAAUUUUUUAUUAUUAAUAUUUAACAUUUUUAGGGAUGAGCUUAAAAAUGAAUUUUUAUUAGUUUAUAAAUUAAAUAAAAUUGUAGGAUUAAAAUUUUUUAUCAAUAAAAAAAUGUUAUAAUUAAUUUAUAAUUAAAUAUUAUUUUUAUAAAUAUAUUAAAUUUUUUAUUAAAAUAUUAAUUAAAAUAUUAAAAAUUAAUUAAUUAUGAUAAAAUUAGUAUAAAUUAUUGUAUUUUUUUAGAUUAAGAAUAGUUUAAAUAAAGGAAUUCGGCAAAUUAUUUUUUACCUGUUUAUUAAAAACAUGUCUUUUUGAUAAUAAUUUAAAGUCUAGCCUGCCCGAUGAUGAAUUGAAUGGCCGCGGUAUUUUGACCGUGCUAAGGUAGCAUAAUCAAUAGUUUUUUAAUUGAAAGCUGGAAUGAAGGGUUGGAUAAAAAAAUAACUGUCUUUAUUUAAUUUAAUUAGAAUUUUAUAUUUAAGUUAAAAAGCUUAAAUUUUAUUAAAAGACGAGAAGACCCUAUAGAGUUUAAUAAAUAGUUAUAUUAUUAUAUUUAGAAUUAAUUUUAUUAAUUAUAUUAUUUAUUUAAUUGGGGUGAUUUAAAAAUUAGAUUAACUUUUUUUGUAUUUAAACAUUUUUAAAUGAAUAUUUGAUCCAUAUAUAAUGAUUAUAAGAUAAAAUUACCUUAGGGAUAACAGCGUUAUUUUUUUUUAGAGUUCAAAUCGAAAGAAAAGAUUGCGACCUCGAUGUUGGAUUAAAAUUAAUUUUUGGUGUAGAAGCUAAAACAUUAGGUCUGUUCGACCUUUAAAAUUUUACAUGAUCUGAGUUUAAACCGGUAUAAGCCAGGUUGGUUUCUAUCUUUAAUAUAUAAAGAAUACUUUAGUACGAAAGGAUUGAGUAUU
rnacentral:rRNA from 1 species